CCGGCUCCUCCCUCCCCCACCACGCCCGCUCGCGCCCAGGCUCAUCCCCGCCCCUCCCUGACUUCGAGAUGAUUUACAUUAAAACGAGUUAUGUGGGGCUGAGGAUGUAGCUCGGUGGCACAGGUGCCUUCCUGGCAAGCACAAGGUCCCGAGUUCGAUCCCCGGUCCCAAGAAAAAAAAUAGAUCAUAGGGUCACCUGUGUAAUGACGGUUUCUUGCUCUUCUGUCUUUGGUGGAAAAAGGGUCACGGUCAAUCUAAGGCCAAUUAUUCUACUUGGAUGAAGAAAUUCUUCUGUGUGUUUUAGCUGAUGAAAACUCAUGGCUUUCCUUAUAAAAGCUCAUGGCUGUCCCGGCUGGUGGAAACUGUCAUGGCUCUCAGAUGAGAAGUGAAGCCAUUGAAUGGAAACUUAAAUGUUUAGAUUAAUUGUAACAUCGGUUGUGGCUGGGAAAUUUGACUUUUUGAAACUGUGUCAUAACCAAUGAAUCAUCACAGUUGGCAAUCUUCAAAACACUGAUGCAUUUUUCUGCAUGCUGUUCCCAAAUGUGCUGGACCAGCUGUUGCAAGCCACACUAUCCAAUCUCCUGGAAGACCUCUUCUUGCACCACGAAUCACCUAACGUAUAUUCCUCUUUGUUCUAAUGAAGAAUGGGAAAAUUAGAGCAAGAUGCCAUCCAACUGAUAACAAGUCCUGCUGUGUUUUACCAACAUAAAAAAUUAGACUGGAGACCGAAGAGCGGCAGGUGGCUUUUGGCACCAAGAAAUAAUCACACUUGAUGUGGAAAGUAAAGUAAAAGGAGCCAUCUGUUCACUGCAGGAGGACGUGAAAAAUCACAUUAACAUAUUGUCACUAACAUCAUGAAAUACACAGUUAAUAAUAAAUUUAGUUAUCA